rnacentral:lncRNA from 1 species
GGCCUCUUUUGGAGAAGGGGAAGAGGGUGAAGAAGAAGACAAAAAAGUUGACUCCAGUGGAGAAGCUGAGAAGAGAGAUUUCAGAGCUGCUCUUAGGAAACAACAUGCAGCUGAACUCCAUCUAGGGGAUUUUUUAGUUUUUCUUCGCAGAGUUGUGUCUUCAAAAGCAAUUCAAUCAAAGAUGGCUUCCCCCAAAUGGACAGAAGUGCUUCUAAAUAUAGCAUCUCAGAAGUGUUCUUCAGGCAUUCCUCUGGUUGGUAACUUAAGAACGAGGCUCCUUGCUCUUCAUGUCCUUGAGGCUGUGCUACCUGCUUGUGAAUCUGGUGUAGAGGAUGACCAAAUGGCCCAGGUUGUUGAACGCUUAUUUUCCCUUCUGUCGGAUUGUAUGUGGGAGACUCCCAUUGCUCAGGCCAAACAUGCUAUUCAAAUAAAGGAAAAAGAACAAGAAAUAAAAUUGCAGCAAGGAGAGUUGGAGGAAGAGGAUGAAAAUCUCCCCAUACAAGAAGUCUCUUUUGAUCCAGAGAAGGCUCAGUGUUGCAUUGUGGAAAAUGGACAGAUUUUAACUCAUGGCAGUGGAGGAAAAGGAUAUGGAUUAGCAUCAACUGGAGUAACUUCUGGGUGCUAUCAGUGGAAGUUUUAUAUUGUGAAGGAAAAUAGAGGUAAUGAGGGUACAUGUGUUGGAGUCUCACGCUGGCCAGUACAUGAUUUUAAUCACCGCACUACCUCAGACAUGUGGCUCUAUAGAGCUUACAGUGGUAACCUCUAUCACAAUGGAGAACAGACUCUGACGCUGUCCAGCUUUACUCAAGGAGAUUUCAUUACCUGUGUGUUAGACAUGGAAGCCAGGACCAUUUCCUUUGGGAAAAAUGGAGAGGAACCCAAAUUAGCCUUUGAAGAUGUGGAUGCAGCAGAGUUGUACCCAUGUGUGAUGUUCUAUAGCAGCAACCCGGGUGAGAAGGUGAAAAUUUGUGAUAUGCAGAUGCGUGGCACACCACGGGAUUUACUUCCAGGAGACCCUAUUUGUAGUCCAGUAGCAGCAGUACUAGCUGAGGCCACUAUUCAACUUAUCCGUAUCCUUCACCGAACAG